GGUGAAAAAUAAAGCUAGAGUUGAGGGCUCAAUUUUUUCAUCUUACCUACAUCGUGAAACAACACACUUUUGUUCUCAUUAUUUUAACAAUGAAACGUUGUCACCAGUUAACGGAAGAAACAAAACUUAUAUUGUUAUACGUCACCCACAUGCUUUAUCAGUUUUUUGCUUGUCUGGUCAUCAUGCUUGUAGGGAUUUUCCGAUUUUCUAGCCAAGUGACAAAGUAUUUAACAAACAUUCAUCCCUCCCAUUCUCAGAAAACUCAUGAAAACAAAAACAAAAUUGCAAUAAAAUGGCAAAAAUGAGGAAAACAAAUGAAUUGAUGACAGUGAAAAGAGAGAACUAAACUUGAAAUAUGAGAAGGAGGAUAACUUUGGAGAUGUGUGAAGGAAGAAACUUUUGGGGACUGUUGUGAGAAAACAAAGAGAAUAUUCUUUUAUUUCUCUUGCGGUUUUAGAAAUUGAGACGAAAGGAAACGCUGUUUUUAUAUUUGUAUUCGUUGUAGUGGAAGUUAUUUUGGGGUUUAGCAUUUUCCUUCCUUUUUGAUAGAAAGAAAAAGAAAAAGAAAAAGAAAAAGGGCUUUGCAGACUUGUGUGGAAUUGGAUUUGAAAGUGCCAAUUUCUCACCGCCCAAUUCCAAGUGGUGUCGUUAUGUAUUGUCUUCCUCCUUCACACUCACUCUUCUUCACAAUGAAUAAUCAGAGGUCCAUGUCUCUCCUUUAGUUUAUAGGUGAUGAAGGACUCGUUCCCUCUCCACAAGAGGAACAAAAAAGGAAAAACGUUAUUGACAACCUCAAACAGAUAGUUUCAUCAUGGAUCAAAGAGGUUGCACGACGACAUCGGUUGCCAAAACACCACAUUGCUCUUACUUCUGCCACCAUAUUGACAUGUGGAUCUUAUGGCCUUCGACUUCACACCUUAGUGUCUGACGUUGAUGCUUUGUGUGUUGCUCCUUUCUUUGCCUCCAUUGCAGUAAGUCAAUACCUAUCAUUUUCUUUUAAGCCUCUCUACUACUACUAUUACUACUAUUUAUUUUUCUUCCUUUUUAUGGAUCAGGAAGACUUUUUUGUUCUGCUUCACCACAUGCUCAAAACUAGACAUGAAGUAUCACAGAUUCACUGUGUAAAGACUGUUAAAGUCUCGUUUAUGCGAUUUAAAGUCCCUCUUAUGCCCUUUAAUUUAAAGUGUAUAAGUGGUACGAAAGAGUACAUAGUCCACAAUGAAUGGGUUUAAUAACACAACAAAAUGGGUUGCCAGACCAGACCUGGGUCUGAUUAAUUUAAAUUUUAGGUUUUUAUCGAACUAGAAUGACAACAAUUGAACAUUCACCCUUUUGGUUCUCUCUCUUGUCUUUCUUUAAAAUACCACAAGUAAUUGCAUCGCCUUUCAGUUGUC